GAUGAACGCUGGCGGCGUGCCUAAUACAUGCAAGUCGAGCGAAUGGAUUAAGAGCUUGCUCUUAUGAAGUUAGCGGCGGACGGGUGAGUAACACGUGGGUAACCUGCCCAUAAGACUGGGAUAACUCCGGGAAACCGGGGCUAAUACCGGAUAAUAUUUUGAACUGCAUGGUUCAAAAUUGAAAGGCGGCUUCGGCUGUCACUUAUGGAUGGACCCGCGUCGCAUUAGCUAGUUGGUGAGGUAACGGCUCACCAAGGCAACGAUGCGUAGCCGACCGGAGAGGGGGACCGGCCACACUGGGACUGAGACACGGCCCAGACUCCUACGGGAGGAAGCAGUAGGGAAUCUUCCGCAAUGGACGAAAGUCUGACGGAGCAACGCCGCGUGAGUGAUGAAGGCUUUCGGGUCGUAAAACUCUGUUGUUAGGGAAGAACAAGUGCUAGUUGAAUAAGCUGGCACCUUGACGGUACCUAACCAGAAAGCCACGGCUAACUACGUGCCAGCCGCCGCAGUAA
rnacentral:rRNA from 1 species